UAAGAUUAUUGCCCAUUUUUAUUCCCAGACCAGCAUGGCCUAAAAUUAUGGCAAAUACUAAUAAUAUUUGUAAAAAACAGCUCUUUGAGCAUCCAGUAUGUAAUUAGUGUGCCCCAGGCAACGUGUUAAUAUUUCCCAUUCACCAAGACAUUUAAUCCUCAUAGCAACUCUGCAUGGGCGGGUUAUUAUCAGCCUCCUUUCACAGAGGCUUAGAGAGGUUUAAGUAACUUGUACAAAGUCACUGACCCAGGAAAGUGAGGAAAGGUCCCAAUAAACCUAACAUCUGGCUUGAAAGUCCACGCGUGCGACUUUGCUGCAUCUAUUCGUUAUCAUGAAGCCUGUGAGCUGGAUUCAGUGUGUGGGUCAACUCAUGGGCUCUAAUGAUAGUAAUGAGCCUACUGUGUGCGAGCAUCUUGCAGGUCAUAUAGUUUGUUUAAUCAUUAUGACAAGGCUCAGAGGCAGGUAGUCAUAGCCUCAUUUUGCAGAUGAGGAAACCAAGACUCAGAGAGGUUAAGUCACUUGCAUGCAGUCACCUGCUAGUGAACAGCACAGCUGGGAUUCAAACUUAGGGUUGGCUGACACAACACCCUCUCUCUUUUCAGCCUCAUGUUAGUGGAAACAGCAGGGAAUCCAUGUGGAGGUUUGCUCUGAGCCCCAGAUCACCUGAUCGAUUUCAGCUGCUUUCCAAAAGAGCCUGGAGGUACAGGAUCCAAGGCAGGGUCCAGGCAUCCUGUCUGUGCUGUGAGCGGAGGGCUUCCCACAGCAGCCCUGAGAGUGCACCCCCAGCCCACACGAGAGAGGGCUGAGCCAGUUCCCUCUCGGCUUUAUUGAUGUGGAAUGAGCUGAAGGUUAUUGCAAUGAAUAAUAAAUGAGCUAUCAUAGCUGAGCCGAUUAUUCCGAAGUGUUACCGAUGUUUGUGUUGAUAAAAAUGAAUAAAUGGCUAAGUGUUUGCAGGGAAUGGAAGAGAAAAGGCAUAAAGAGGAAAUUCGUAUGUGCCUCUGAUAGUUAGAAACAAUGAGUCUUGAAACAGAGGCAAUCAAGGAAUGGGAUAAAGCAGCUUUGUGAUUUGUUAUGUAGAGAAAAUAACGACAGAAUCUUUCAUCUCUGGCCAUGUUGGCUGCAAAGUGGUAAUAGACAUCGGCUUUGAACAGAGGUGAUAAGAGACCAAGAGAAAAAUAAAGUUCAGAACAGUGAAUACAAGAGCCAAAUUGUUGCCUGGCUUUUCUCAUAGACGGAAGACAUAUAGAGGAAGGGCAUGGAUGCAGCUGUUUCAGGCUUCCCUGCGGAUCGAAGAGACUUACCGGCCCCAAAUGUGAAGGAGGGGUUACUCCCAGCAUUGGAGCCAAGGUCAGAUGCAAGAGGAUUAUGAGAAGCUGAAUUCAAUGGAUGGCAUCAGUCCUGAGCUAACAUCUGCUGCUAAUCCUCCUCUUUUUGCUGAGGAAGACUGGCCCUGAGCUCACAUCCGUGCCCAUCUUCCUCUACUUUAUAUGUGGGACGCCUGCUGCAGCAAGGCUUGCCAAGCGCUACCAUGUCUGCACCCGGGAUCCGAACCUGCGAACCCCAGGCUGCUGAAGUGGAACAUGCGCACUUAAUUGCUGUGCCACUGGGCUGGCCCCUGAAAUACUUUUUAAAUAUAUGGUAACUAGAUAUGAAUAAUUGGUAUGGGGGUGGGAUUGGCGAUUUCUGUAAAAUAUAUUUUAGGCUGUGCAUUUGAACU
ensembl:lncRNA